rnacentral:lncRNA from 10 species
CUGUAAUCCUAGCUACUCAGGAGGCUGAGGUAUAAGAAUCGUUUAAACCCGGGGGUGGUAGCUGCAGUGAGCUGAGAUCAUGCCACUAAACUCCAGUCUGGGUGACAGAGAGAGACUGUUUCAAAUUAAAAUAAAUAAAUAAAUAAAUAAAUAAACUUUUUGACAUACUAAUUUUAAAGGCAAUUAAAUAAACUUUUUAGAAAUUUAAUCCAUGUCACAUCAUGAGUUUCACAAAGCAAGCAACAAAAUAUUUCCGAUUUUUCUGAUUUCUACAGUAGGCCUAACACCCAGAAGGAAACAGUAAACUCAGUAAGAUGUUUGCAAAUUUCAAUUUUGUACAAUCAAGCUCACAAAAAUCCUAUUUACAACAGGCAGCCCCAACAUCACAAUGGUCUACAUAUAUAUUCUAAAAGGUCAUCAAGCUAAUUGUUAUGAAAUUCGAAUAAUAUUUCCCCCCAGAAAAGUGUUAAAAAUGAUAGUUUUAUUUCCUAUUCUAGCCCACAAUCUACAUAAGCAAAACAGUAGCAGCAUUACAUUUUUUUAAUAAUUAAAAAAUUUUUUUAAAGUUUUUGUGGGUUCAUAGUAGCUGUAUUACAUUAAUUUUUUUAUUUUUAUUUUUUUGAGACUGGGUCUGGCUCUACCGUCCAGGCUGGAAUACAAUGGUGUGAUCUCGGCUCACUACAACCUCCAUCUCCCAGGCUCAAACCAUCCUCCUGCCUCAGCCUCCCAAAUAGCUGGGACUACCGGCAUGUACCACCACACCUAGCUAAUUUUUGUAUUUUUAGUAGAGAUGGGGUUUCACCAUGUUGGCCAGGCUGGUCUUGAACUCCCGACCCCAGGUGAUGCACUUGCCUCGGCCUCCCAAAGUGCUGGGAUUAUAGGUGUGAGGCACUGUGCCUGGCACCCAGCUAAUUUUUUUGUAUUUUUGGUAGAGAUGGAAUUUUACCAUGUUGCCCAGGCUGGUCUUGAACUCCUGGGUUCAAGCAAUCCUCCUGUCAUGGCCUCCCAAAGUGCUGGGAUUACAUGGUGGCGUGAGCCAUCAUGCCUGGUCUACAUUUAAACCUUAAUUGAUAGAAAUAGCAAUGUUUUUCUUAAAAUUCAAGUUGCAUGAAGAGAGUUCCUAUUAAUCUUCCCAACUGUUUUGUAUUCAUGACUAUCUUUUAAAAUUAAAAAAUAUAUAUAUUUUUAUAGAGACGGGGGUCUCAGGCUACUUUGUCCAGGCUGACCUUGAACUCUUGGCCUCAAGUGAUCUUCCUGUCUAGGCCUCCCGAAGUGCUGGGAUGACAGGGCUUGUGAGCCACUGUGCCCAGUCUUGACUAUCUUUUCUAAAACAUUAAUCCACUUAAGGUUACUAAAGGAUAGGCACUUUGAAUUUGUUGCUAUGACCUCUAGCCCCUAUCAGAACAUUCUGAUAAGAAAUGUAUUGGCUGCUGAUUAAAAGCAUACUCAAGUGACUGGGCAAAAGCAGAAUUAAAAAUAUAGUCCAAGGACAGGCAUGGUGGCUCAUGCCUGUAAACCUAGUGUUUUGGAAGGCUGAGACUGGAGGAUCCCUUGAGGCCAGGAAUUUGAGACCAGCCUGGGUAACAUGGGAAGACUUCAUCUCUACAAAAAAUAAAAAAUUAGCCAGGUGUGGUGGUCCAUGCCUGUAGUCCCAGCUACUCAAGAAGCCAACACAGGAGGAUCAUUUGAGCCCAGGAGUUCAAGGCUACAGUACACUAUGAUCAUGUCUGUGACUAGCCACUGUACUGCAGCCUGGGCCACACUGCAAGACUCCAUCCAUCUUAAAAAAA